rnacentral:rRNA from 1 species
UACGAAGGGGCUAGCGUUGCUCGGAAUCACUGGGCGUAAAGCGCACGUAGGCGGAUUGUUAAGUCGGGGGUGAAAUCCUGGAGCUCAACUCCAGAACUGCCUUCGAUACUGGAAAGCUCGAGUCCGGGAGAGGUGAGUGGAACUGCGAGUGUAGAGGUGAAAUUCGUAGAUAUUCGCAAGAACACCAGUGGCGAAGGCGGCUCACUGGCCCGGUACUGACGCUGAGGUGACGAAAGCGGUGGGGAGCAAAACAGGAUUGAGACUACCCUGGUAG